UUCUAAGCGCUGUAAGCUCGUGGGUCCCCGCGAGGUACGCGGAGACUAUCUGUUGAGCAAAGGGGAAGGUUUGUUGUUGAAGGAUUUUUGGUCGCAGUGUGUAAAUCUAACUCGAGUUUAACUCAUCCGACGUGUUAUGGAGAGUAGCAGCGAUUCGGAAACGUGUCUAAUGGGUGACGUCAAGCUGGUAGGUGUUGGCGCUUACCUGAUUGCUCGCAGACAGUGGUGAAAUAUAAGGGCGUUCCUCCUCACAGUAUCAAGGGAGCUCAUCACCACCAAGUUUAGCUUUGUUUCACCAUACCUGGAUUCUUUUCUUAUUUUAUGUAGUUAAAAUCUGUACAGCUUUCACUAUAUUUUAAAUUCUUUGAGUGUGCAGAAUGACAUUCCUGUGAUGUCACAGACAUAAAUAACCAGAAAGGAUUUUACGUUUGAAUGUCAUUUUGCACAUUCACAACAAAAGUUAAGCAAGAGAUGUGUAUAUGUGCCUUAUUUAAUUAUGAAUCUAAUCAUCCAUUAAUAAUACAAAACAAUGAAGGAUUAAAUUACUAAAUGAGGACUUAAACUGCACAAACUGUGUUUUUGAAUGCAUUAUUAAUUCAGGCUGUGCCUUGUAAUGCAUCUUACGUAAAUGCCUGACCACUUGAGUAAUAUUUUCUAAACACCAGGAACCCUGUUCGGUUGUAGUACAUUCCCUCCCCAUACCUUUUAGACAAAUCACAGUCAGUGUUGUGACUUUGGAUUCUACUGUUAUGCAAAAUGUUGAGUGGGAAAUUCUGUGCUUGCUGAUGUCUUGACAAAGUCUCUUCUGUAAACAAGAAUGUAGCUCAUGCAAGCAAUGUGACAUUGUAGGGCCUAUGAAUUUGGUCUUUCAAGACCAGAAUAAAUACCUUCAAUAUCA